UGGGGGAGGACAGAUAGGGGAAUGACUGAGUGAGGACAGGGCAGCAGGUGUGGGGAAGGAAGGGAAAUGGAAUACUGGGGAGAGAGAUUUAAUGAUCACCUACAGCUGGAGCUUUGUGCUUCCUUUGCAGCAGAGCACUGUUAGAACACUGUUGAUAAACAACCUGUAUUAAAAAGCUUCCACUCAUCUUUGCAAUUCAAAGCCAGUGUCCUGUUCUAGCUCCGGAUCAGGACCCUGGGGGUGGCAGCGCUCCUUCUCAUGCUGAAGGAGAUAAGUGUAUCCUGAGUCUGUGGGACACAGGAGGUGCAAGAUGCAAGGUUGCGUGGAUACUGAAAUAUCAGUCUGGUUUUAACAUGUGGCAGAGAGGAAGCAAGAAUCCCGAGGGUCUGCUGUAAUGAGGAGUAGGCACACACCAGGAGAGAGCUCAGGAGUCUGCUUGGAGAUUGGGAGUUCACAAAGAGCCUGAAUCAUUUUUCAAGGGCAACGGGGAACAAUGGAGAGUGAAUACCACAGCAGCCACGGGAAUUAGAAAGAAAUCUUCUUUCUGAUGCUACAUUAAGGUUUUAAAAACCAUACAAUUGCGAGAUGAGACUGGGCAUGGAGAUAGCCUUGAAACAGUGCGUGGAAUGAAGGGUGCAUGAGCAACACCAGAAAAUUUCACACUGUGUUUGAAAAAUACAAAAACCAGUGUUGGUGGAGCUCAGAAUUCAGAGGCCAAGUUACAGCAAGGUAAUGAAAGCCUGGUGUGUGCUGGCUUCUGUGCUGUGUAGCCCGAUGUGGAAAUGCUUUCCUUCUAGGAUGGAUGCGAGGCAGCCCAGCUCCCUGUGUCUUACCAGGACAUGGGAGCCCAGCUACGUGCCCCCUUAUAAACUGAUCAGCCCAGAGCCUGAUAAUGCAGAGGCUUAGUUAACAGUCUUGUGUAGGAUUCAGUACUUUACACUGUGUUUUCACGAUGCCCCCCUUGCCAGGUGGCAGAUCUGGGUUUGAACCAUUAGGGACCAUGGCAUUUUCUUUUCUUUUCGGCCUGAUGCCCUUCUUGCUACAGGUCAAAGGAUUUGAAAACCCUCAGCCUGCUCUUCUUUGUUCACAUGCACUGAACAAAGAAGUGCCUCUGGAUAAAGUCCCUCUGGAUGUCUGUGUGCUGGCUUAUUAGUUACCUUAGUUAUAUUUUCUAAACGAGGAUAUGGUUCUUGAUCACAAAACCUAAGCUGUAACAAUAAAGUAAAAUUCAUUUGUCACUGUGUUAUUCCACCAUAUCAGUGCCAGCUGUGCUGUGUUCCCAGUGGUGUGAGUUUCCUGCAGGCUUUUUCAUAAGCUGAGCUCCUUUCAGGUAAGCCAGCUAUUUAAGCCACUUAGAGCUAAAGUUUUGGGCCCAGAAGGAACACAGAAAUGUGCCCUGAUGGGGACCUCAAACCAACUCCUGCAGCCUCUUUUGAAGUUAGCAGCUGGUCCUGGUUACAGGACCAAAUCAUACAGAUAACAGCCAUCAUCCAGAUCUUCUGCCCACUUCUCACCUUAAUGGUGGAAUAUCGUGGCUGUGGGAAGCAGAGCAGUGAUUUCUCAUCCCUGUUUUGACUCAAGAGAUUCCAGCUUCUACUAGAAGCAAAGAGAUCUUUGAAGCAUCUCCAAAGAAUGCCAUUCAUUGGAGGGAUCUCACUGUGCAAUGGUUGUGCUGGGCUGCCUGGUGCAGGUGGGGUCAAUGUUCCUUGUUCCCUGCCCGAUAUACCCCAGGGCUGCUUUAUGCAACAUCCCAGCCAGAUGCAGCUGCACCAUAGCAGAAAAAGGACUCUACUGCCUGCCCAAGUCCCUAGGGGUGGAGGUGCUGUCACCAUGUCUUGGCGGUGGCAUGAGAAAGGCCACUGCUAGGGACCAUCUGCUCUCCCUCUACCGUAUGUCUGUGUCCGUAUGCAGCCUGAGUGCAAAUGCCUCUUAUUAAAUAACAGUAUCUUUAAUUGAAUAAAACUCCCAAGGCUGGUUGGAUUCCAAAAGCAACGUCAGCUCCAGGCACUGCUUUCCCUUCUUUCUGACGUCUGGCUUCUUAAACCCAAAUAUCUCCUGGAUAUUAUCUCUUCUG